UACAGAGACUACAAGCGUUAUUCGGAUUCACUGGGCGUAAAGGGUGCGCAGGCGGCCGUGUGUGUGAGGCGUGAAAGCCCGGGGCUCAACCCCGGAAUUGCACCUCAAACUACAUGGCUAGAGCAUUGGAGAGGGUAGCGGAAUUCACGGUGUAGCAGUGAAAUGCGUAGAUAUCGUGAGGAACACCAGAGGCGAAGGCGGCUACCUGGACAAUUGCUGACGCUCAGGCACGAAAGCGUGGGGAGCAAAAGGG
rnacentral:rRNA from 1 species